rnacentral:lncRNA from 1 species
CGGUUAGAUUGAAUAUCUAUGUGUUGUGAAUAACAUAUCAAAAUUUCAGCUCAAUCUGGCGGUUAACGAAUCCACACGGGGCAUUUUAUGAAAAGAGGUCAGAGUUGUCAGCACCUGCACGCAUGUGCGUGCCAGAUAGUCAGUGGCGUGGCCAUUUUGCAUGCAUGUGCGUGCCCACGCACAUGCGUAGCUCAUCGGUUUUCUACUAUAAAUACAAUACUUUGUAAUCUUAGUUGAGAGGAUCUGCGGGGAGGAACUUUGAACCACUUCCAGACCUCAUUAUCUUGGUUUUUCUAAACAAUAGCUUGGGUAAGGUGUUUUGGAGCUUCUCUGAGGCUUUUUCUCAGGUUAGAAGUUAUGUUUUUCUUAGCCAUGCUUGACUAAGUUUCUUUAGCAUUUGGGAUGUGGAUCCCUAACUUGUUUAUGUUUUAGUUUAUGAGUUUAUAUGGAAUAAGGUUUUCUUCUAUGAGUUCAUGUUCCUUGUUACAAUAUUUAACUUGAAUGCAUGCAAGUUACUAUACUUAUACUUUGCACAAAUGGAAGUUUGGUUUAGAAUAGAAGACCUGGGAUAGGAAUUAUUAGAGCGCACUUGCGCCUUAGGAAUGAGGGUGAUGUCUAGUAGUUGGUGGCCUGAACUAAAUAACUUCAUCUUCACUUAAGUUACGCAUAGGUGCUCGAGGAAUCACUCUAAUGAAACAUAAAUGAAAGAUUUACUUGACUUGAGGAAUCAAUACUAAAAGAAAUAGGCUUGAUCAACAAUAGAAUGAACUUCAAGAUAUUCCAUAUACUCACUUUUAUCUUAAAGCAUAACUUGUUUUGGUGAAGCUAAACCCAAGUGCUAGCUUUUAAACAUAAUUUCUUCUUUGUUUCUUCAAACUAAGCUCUCUACCAAUCAAACUUAUAAUUUGUCUUUACUUUCUUUUAUUCUAAACAACUCUUACUUUUGUGAAUUGGUGUUUUCCCAAUCACUGUGGUUCAACAAUCUUUUAUAUUACUCCGAGCGUACUGUAUAUUUGCGGAUAAUGUACAUCCUCCCUUUGCCGCCGAAAUCCACAUCUUGAAUGGCCACCAUAUCCUAUGCUUAUUGGGAUUGCCACAACCUCCUUGUUGAGAAUGGGGUUGCAUUGAGAAGAGGCAAGGAUGCCAUGCCAACAUUGGGCGCAUAACGACAUAAGGGAUGAUGGAAGGGCAAAUAGCAAAUGUAAAUUAAAGAGAAGUGGAUGACGAAACAUGGUGUAGCAAAGGCAAGAGAGUCUCAUUAUUUUUCUUGUCUUAUUUGAAAGUGCAGCACCACUGCACUAACAACCCUCUUAUCUUUAGUAAAAAAAAUAUUUUCACCUAAGGUAGGGUUAGAUCAAGUUCUAUACUCAAUUUUGGAAACAAUAUUGAACUGAUCAGGAUCCAAACUUAAUACCUCGGAUCAUCAUGAAACAAAAUCAAGCUUAUCUAAGAGCACGAACCAACUCGAGGUUUCAUAUUUUGUUCGAGUCAGUUUGGUCGGAUUCACCUUUCCCAUGUGCCUCUAAUAGGAAGUGACUCAUCACUCAUGAGUGAGCCCAUGUCAUUAUGGAUGAGUCACGAUAGGUGCAAGAGUAUGCGUGUAGUGGACGUGUCAAGAUUGGAAUGGAGGAGCAGCACAUGGUUGGUGAAAAGUAAUAGAUUUCCCAACCCAUCCAAAAUUGCAGACCUUAUCAACAUUUAUCAAUAAGGAAAUUUCAUGACAGAGAACGUAAAGAAACAGCAUACUAGUAACAUCCAGCAGUGAGUGAGACAAUAGAAUUAUAUUUGUUGGAGGAAAAAAUACCCUUACCUUUUUCCUUGAGUAGAUUUUCCAACGUCCUAACCGAAUACAUGCCCAUAAUAUUGUUUCUUUAAUCUUUAUACAAAAGAUGGGCAUAAAAUUAAAUUUCCAAGUUGAACUUAUCACAUGGAGCGAUCACUGUAUGUAUAAGGACAAGAAAAUUUAAUGCAAACAAAAUAGGGGAGACUAUCUGGGGUAGUAGAUAAAGUGGAAAAAGUUCUUCCUCUACCUAUUAAUAGCGCAACUAUAUACACAUGACAUGUCAUCUAUAUCAAUGGUUUUGGUUUACAUUUUUAUUUAGUAACUUUUUUUAUAGUUAAUUAUAUUUUUAAAGAAUCCACUACAAAUAGCAUUCAUAAAAUGCUUAUUUUAUUUAAAUGAAUUGUAGAAUUGCUUCUCCGCACGGAAACAUGCAUGCUUGAUCCUAGUAGGAUUAGAUGGAUGAUGUCUUUAAUCUCGUGUGAAAUAUAUUAAAAAGAAGACCUAGCUAGCACUUCCAGUACAAAAAUCCCCGGCCCCGAUGACUUGACAGAGCAAAAAUUUAACUUGUCUGUAUUGGCAUUUUUACUAACAUCGUCUUUAAAGCUUAUUUUAAAAAUAUAAAAUUGGAAAAUUUGGAUUUAAAACACUUGUCUCUAGAUCAUCCAUAUAUUCUUCACCAUAAGAACCAAACAAAAAACACUUGUCUGUAUUUUACUAUUUAAUAUAAUAACUACGUUCUUUUCUACUAGAUACAUUUUAGUUUUGCAUUUUUAAAAUUAUCUCUAAGAGCUAACGUUGACAAAGUCAUUUCAAUAAUGUAACAAAAAAAUCAUUUCAAUAAAAAUGGCCAUAGAAAAGAAACCCUAGCCCUUUUAUUUUUUUACUAAAUACGUUCCAUUAAUGAUCACAUGCAAAAGAACUCUGACCCUUCUUUAUUUUCUCCAUUCGAUUUGUGGUAUAAAAAUCGGCAGGGUAACCCACCGCGUGCGGACCUGCCCGUUUAGUGGGGACCCCGGGUGGCGGCCCUGCCAGUUUAGUGGGUAGUCAAUAAUGAUAUAAUCACACCUCAUUUUUUCUCCACUUCAUUUUCUCAUAUUCUUAUUUAUAUUUCUUCCUUUUAUCAUCUAUCACAUCUUAUAUUUUAUCUUUUCUUCUUAUCUCUCUCCUCCUCCACCUCUUUCCAUCUCAUUUUUGAGGUGUGAAAGAAUAAUUAUUCUAUGAGAGUUUGCAAGUUGGGAUACCUGACUUGCCUCGCUCCAUUUGGCAUAUUAAUUGGGUCGAUCUAGUGGGUCAAACACACAUUGGUGGCACCCUUUAUACAAAAUGUGGUUGUUGCCCUCCAUUUUAUUUUUCUCUAAUAGAAAUAGUAUGCUAAUGUUAUAUUCACAUUUCACCUCUUAAUUAUUUUUAUACUAUCUCGUUUAAUUAAACAUGAUUAAUUUUACUUAAUGUAUAAAAUACUUAUACAGACACUACACCAGAAAAUGUUUUUUACAGCGGUUAAAAAAGGCCUUUUACAGCGGUUCCGAACCGCUGUAGAUCUCACCGCUUUAAAAGGCCUUGGUUCGAAUCGCUAUAAAAGAUUCCUUAGUUACAGUGGUUAUUUUACAAUAACCGGUUACUUUAUUUAACUGUUGUACUUGUACCCUUUUAACAGCAGUUUCUUAACUUUGACCGCUGUAAUUGAGACACUAUUACCGCGGUUGGAACCGCUGUAAUAGUUUUUUUUUUAGCCCCUGAAUACCACCUGGUCAGCGAUCAACAUUUUCUUUACAGCAGAUAUAUACAAUAUUCAGCCAUAAAAUCAACAAUUUCUAAAACUAUAUCAACAUUCAGCCAUAAAAUUGAAACAAUUUCUACAAAAGCUUCAUACCACGUCCUUAAAGCUUCAAUUUCUCUAAACUUCAGCAUAUCUACCAAUAUAUAUAUACAAAAGCUUCAUAAAUCUGAAACAAUUUCUAAAGUGCAUAAUCAACCACGUCCUUAAACUUCAUCUACCACUAUCUAAUAGUUAUCUAAUAGAUUAACUACUAAAAAAAAUUGUUAAAUACAUAAGCGGCCCACUCAUAUCAUCAUAGGAAUUGAACUGACAAUCUUCAAAAUACUACAAAACAGCAUAAAAAUAGAGUUAAGUUACAGUUAGAGCUUUUAAAAUCCAAUGCAAAUGCAUAUCAAUGUUUCUUACCUUCGUUGAGAUCAUAAGUUGUCGGUGAGUGAUUAUAUCUUUCAUGAACUUCAUCACAUAAUAUCCGCAAUCAACAUUAUUAGUCUGACGAGGGCACUACAAAAGUCAAAGAAUAAAGACGACUAAAUGGAUGAUGUAAACUCAUAUAUCUAUGGAAACCUUUAUGUAAAUAAAUAGACAAGUUUAUAAACAGAUCAAAAGUACAAUAACAAUUUGAAAAGAGGUUUCUAUCAGCACAUGAGUACACCCAGGAUACGAAAUGAAAUCACUUUUUCACCCCUCACAGCAAAAUCCAUUGAUACUACACUGAAUAUAGAAGUACUCCAACCAGCCAUCCCACCACAUAUAGAUACACCUCGAAAAAAGAAAUAUCACAUAUAACCAGCCAUACACCAGAACAUUGACCAUUAUAUAAACCAACACACAGACUCAAUGCACAACUGAAGAGAGCCCAACCACAAACACCCAGAACCAAUCACAACCCCCUCCCCAUUAUGCAGACAAAUCCCACAACUCAAGUCUCCCAUCUCUCCCACAUUUUGCUAAGAAAUCAACAACCUCAUUCCCCUCCCUCAAAAUGUGUCUUCCCCCAAACAAUUGACUAAAGGAAUAAGUUGAUCAAUCUUAUUCACUAUUUGAAACAACCUCCAUGGUCUCCUACUAUUUCACAAAGAUCCAGUACUUACAGAUUAAAAUGACUAGAGUUUAAGAUACACAAAUAUUAUGACAAAUUAGGAUAGGUAGCAUUCAAUACUUACUUAGAAGAGAGAAACAAGAUAAGUACCUGUGAGUUAGAGAAAGAAAGUUUCUUUUUGGUGUCAUUAGCUUUGAAGAAUAUAAGUUGGAGUGGAUGAACAUUUGCAAGUGGUUUCUGGGCAGCUGGGUAGGUGGAUGUUAUGUUAGUUUCUUCUCUUUCUCCUUCAUCUAGUCUAAAUGCAAUAAAAUAUAAAUUUUGACUCAUUUAUUGGUUAGAAGACUUAGAUUUAAAUGUUAAUGUAGAAUGUGACUUAUACAUUUGCUAGCUUGUUGUUUUGCUCCUGCAAUGCCCUUUUUCUGUCAUAUCGACAUAAAAAAAGUUAUCUUUAUAUAAUUGUCAAAUGUUAGUAAUAUAGAAACAUUCUUAAAGUAACAAGAAAAAUAGUUCCACAACAUAGAUAGAAAUUAAAUUUAAUAAAUAAACUCACUAGGAAAUAUGUAAAAGAAAAAGAAACAGAGUUUUAUUUGUCAUUCGUUUUGCUUCCUUCUAUCAACCAAAUCCAUAACUUUCCUCUUUUUAAGCAUAAUCCUCUAGAAUUAGAUAUUUGAAUGAGAAUGUGGUUUGAAGCUUCAGAUUUAUCACUUUCCUUUUCUUUAAGCUGGCAGAUUCUUCAGCAGCUACAUAUUCAGGGCCUCAGGCUUGUAGAAACACUGCUCUAUUUUCCAGAAAAGGUGGUAACUUAAGGGGAAAUUGAUCAAGUUUUUAAGGUUGCAACCAAUAUUCAGUAACAUGAAGGGUUAUAUUGAACAUUUCAAAACUGGAAAAUGAGACUAAUUGAGAUACCUACAAAUAGCCUGGGCCAGAAACAUAAACAUAAACUAACUAAUUAAAAAAUUGAAGACAAAGCUCACCUAGGGCACAAAGUUAGCUUUGUUUUUAGUUUCAUGUAGACACCAGAGUUUAUUGCUUGAAAUCACAUUUUCACCUCCUUUAGAUUGCACACGUUUGGAAGAGAAGAGGCAUUAAGUUAUUUUGAAUGGUAAGAAAAAUUGAAAAGCACUUCCUAAUUUGGAGAUCUUAUCAUGAAAUCUGAAUAAAGUACCUUAUGUUCUUCUCCAAGACUAGAAAUCUCUAAUUGAUCCUCUAACUGAUCGAUGCCACACAAAUAAGUGCAAAACAAAAAAGAAAGUGUCAACAUCACCUUCAGUUUAUUUUAUGCCAUUAAAAUAUCUAAAAAAGAAAUAAGCAAAUGCUCAAAUUACAGGAAUUCACACAAACGAUUGCAAAUCUAUGUCAGGGGAGUUUAACUCUAUUGUAGCAAUUAGCUCUCAAUAGGGUCUGACUAUGACUCUGUCCUAUGGAUUAGACAGCCAAAUCAAUCUUUUAAGAAAAGAGGAUAAAUUAAAAGAAUGUAAACCCUUCAUAGAGAAGCCAAAAUCAUACCAAUAGGAUGAUGGCGGGCUGGCUGCUGACGACGGUAUGAGCUACGACGUCCUGUCAUGGUGGUGGGAAGUCAAAGUUGUGACCUGUGGUGGUUAAGGAAGACUUUCCAACACAUAACAUCGUCACAAUGAACGGCAGCACCAUGGAGGACGACACCACAAAGUCAGAGAAUGGCACAACGCGGCGGAGGGGCUCGUUCGCGACAUAGAGGCUUAACGGAGGUCGUUGCAAUAACAGAGAAGAGGCCCAAGAUGAGCACAGAGAUGAUGAGCGUGAACGGUUUCAAUUUUGCCCAGCAAAAUGAACAUGGAGCGGGAGAGAGUUAACGUGGAGCGGGAUGUUCAAUUUUUCCCAAAAUUGAGAGCGGUGAAAUUGAAAAGGGUUUACAAAAGGUUCAUGAGUGUUUUUUUCUAUUUUUUAUUUGCUAAAAUAUAUUUACAGCGGUUCAAUUUUUAACCGCUAUAAAAGCAUAUUUCCGCUCCGUGUUUUUGUUUUUACAACGGCUGCUACGUGAACCGCUGUAAUCUGUAAAAGCCCUUUUCUGGUGUAGUGAGAACAGAGAACACUUAUUGGUUGUGUUACGGUUACAAAUUUUUGUCAACUUUAAGGUGUAAAUUAUUGGGGUUAUUAAUUAACGUUGGUAAAAAACAUUCUUUUUCUGUCUAGGGGUGGAGAUGAGGUUGGAGACUGGAAUUGUUAUUUUUUCCAGAGCAGAGAAUUAAAAACCCUGGAGCUGCAUGAGAGGAAUUGAUAAAGUAUUUUACUAUUUUGGACCUCACUAAAGUAAACACAAUGUUUUUUUUAAGAUCCAUUGCAAAUAAAUGAAAUAUGCUUGUUAACGACAAGAAAGAAAACUAAACAAAAUAAAGGAAUAUGUUUUUUUUGUCAAAAAAUAAAGGAAUAUGCUUGUUAACCACAAUACCAGUAAAAGAAACUUCUGAUACGGAGAGGGGUGAUGAAGGAUGUUAAAUAUGGCACCCCAAGCAACCAAUUUAACACCCCACUUUAAAACGGAGAUUGUCUAAAAUACUCCUAAAAUUUGUACAUUCCGGGAUUUGUAAUCCCGGAACUCCUAUUAAGCUGCAUUUUGGGAAUUUAAAUCCCGGAAACCAUCCAUUAUAACUUCCAAGUUUUAAAUCCCGG